rnacentral:rRNA from 1 species
UACGGAGGGUGCAAGCGUUAUCCGGAAUCACUGGGUUUAAAGGGUGCGUAGGCGGUGGCGUAAGUCAGUUGUGAAAUUCCCCGGCUUAACCGGCGGGACUGCGAUUGAUACUGCGUUACUUGAAUCAGGUUGAGGUAGGCGGAAUGUGACAUGUAGCGGCGAAAUGCUUAGAUAUGUCAUAGAACACCGAUUGCGAAGGCAGCUUGCUGGACCUGUAUUGACGCUGAGGCACGAAAGCGUGGGGAGCAAACAGG